rnacentral:rRNA from 1 species
AUUGAACGCUGGCGGCAGGCUUAACACAUGCAAGUCGAGCGAGCGGCGGACGGGUGAGUAAUGUCUGGGAAACUGCCUGAUGGAGGGGGAUAACUACUGGAAACGGUAGCUAAUACCGCAUACCAUCAGAUGUGCCCAGAUGGGAUUAGCUAGUAGGUGGGGGAAUGGCUCACCUAGGCGACGAUCCCUAGCUGGUCUGAGAGGAUGACCCGCCAACCUGGGACUGAGACACGGUCCAGACUCCCACGGGAGGCAGGAGUGGGGAAUAUUUGACAAUGGGCGAAAGCCUGACGCAGCCAUGCCGCGUGAAUGAAGAAGGCCUUAGGGUUGUAAAGUACUUUCAGUGGGGAGGCGUUACCCGCAGAAGAAGCACCGGCUAACUCCGUGCCAGCAGCCGCGGUAAUUC